CACGUAGGGCGCGAGCGUUGUCCGGAAUUAUUGGGCGUAACGAGCUCGUAGGCGGCCUGUUGCGUCCGCUGUGAAAGCCCGGGGCUUAACCCCGGGUCUGCAGUGGAUACGGGCAGGCUAGAGGUAGGUAGGGGAGAAUGGAAUUCCCGGUGUAGCGGUGAAAUGCGCAGAUAUCGGGAGGAACACCGGUGGCAAAGGCGGUUCUCUGGGCCUUACCUGACGCUGAGGAGCGAAAGCGUGGGGAGCGAACAGG
rnacentral:rRNA from 1 species